UUGUUUAUGUUUCAAUGUGAAAUACAAUGGCGAGCAGGAGAACUACUUACUCUGCAGAGAGCACUAGAUCAAACCAUAACAAUACCAAAUGACUACAAAAGCCAAUGAACUUCUGCAAGCCUGCUGACAACAUGACCAGAACUGCAUUAGUGAAGAACGCAAAGUACCAGGAGCUGGUAGAACAGUGCCGGAGACAGGUGUGGAGAGAACAACGUGAGCCUGUAGAGGCAUCGCUCCUUGAAGACGUCCCAGAUACAUCACUGAUCCCAAGAUGUCUCUCAGCAGCACAGAUCUGUCAAGGAAAGAUCGUCUCAAGUGAGGGAGAAUCGAAAAGACACAUUUCACCGUAUGCUUCAAUGCUUCAAGAAACAUACUGUUUGAGAAAUAAAGAUACUCUUUA